rnacentral:rRNA from 1 species
UUGGGUUUAAAGGGAGUGUAGGCGGUUUGUUAAGCGUGUUGUGAAAUUUAGAUGCUCAACAUUUAACUUGCAGCGCGAACUGUCAGACUUGAGUACACGCAACGUAUGCGGAAUUCAUGGUGUAGCGGUGAAAUGCUUAGAUAUCAUGAAGAACUCCGAUUGCGAAGGCAGCAUACGGGAGUGUAACUGACGCUUAAGCUCGAAGGUGCGGGUAUCGAACAGGAUUAGAUACCCUGGUAGUCCGCACAGUAAACGAUGGAUGCCCGCUGUUAGCGCCUGGCGUUAGCGGCUAAGCGAAAGCAUUAAGCAUCCCACCUGGGGAGUACGCCGGCAACGGUGAAACUCAAAGGAAUUGACGGGGGCCCGCACAAGCGGAGGAACAUGUGGUUUAAUUCGAUGAUACGCGAGGAACCUUACCCGGGCUUGAAUUGCAGAGGAAGAAUUUAGAGAUAAWGACGCCCUUCGGGGUCUCUGUGAAGGUGCUGCAUGGUUGUCGUCAGCUCGUGUCGUGAG